AGUUGCGUUGAGACGAAUGCCGAGAACACAAAGUGCCUGAAGGAAGCGGCGGGGCGCCGCCACGACCCGAAAAGGCGGCU
rnacentral:sRNA from 1 species